rnacentral:tRNA from 1 species
GGUCCCGUGGUGUAGUGGCUAACAUGCCGCCCUGUCAAGGCGGAGAUCGCGGGUUCGAUACCCGUCGGGACCG